rnacentral:rRNA from 1 species
AGCAGCCGCGGUAAUUCCAGCUCCAAUAGCGUAUAUUAAAGUUGUUGCAGUUAAAAAGCUCGUAGUUGAAUUUCGGAAUCGACGGAUUGGUCGCGCCUUCGGUGUGUACUGGUCUUGCCGGUUUCUCCCUUCUGACGAACCACGAUGUCAUUAAUUUGGUGUCGUGGGGAAUCAGGACUGUUACUUUGAAAAAAUUAGAGUGUUUAAAGCAGGCAUUAGCUUGAAUACAUUAGCAUGGAAUAAUGAAAUAGGACGUUUGAUCUUAUUUUGUUGGUUUCUAGGAUCGACGUAAUGAUUAAUAGGGAUAGUUGGGGGCAUUAGUAUUCAAUUUGUCAGAGGUGAAAUUCUUAGGAUUUUAUUGAAGACUAAACUACUGCGAAAGCAAUUUGCCAAGGAUGUUUUCAUUAAUCUAAGAACGAAAGUUAGGGGAUCGAAGACGAUCAGAUACCGUCGUAGUCUUAACCAUAAACUAUGCCGACUAGGGAUCGGGAUGAUGUUAAUUUUUUAAUGUACUCA